UGGGGUGCUCGAGUGGCGAACGGGUGAGUAACACGUGAGUAACCUGCCCUUGACUUUGGGAUAACUUCAGGAAACUGGGGCUAAUACCGGAUAGGAGCUCCUGCUGCAUGGUGGGGGUUUUAAAGUUUCGGCGGUUGGGGAUGGACUCGCGGCUUAUCAGCUUGUUGGUGGGGUAGUGGCUUACCAAGGCUUUGACGGGUAGCCGGCCUGAGAGGGUGACCGGCCACAUUGGGACUGAGAUACGGCCCAG
rnacentral:rRNA from 1 species